UAGGUUAACGAUGACCACUGCUGUUAUAUGUGUUGUUGAUUGUGCCUGCAGGUCUCAAAGUCUGAGGUCCAC